UAGGGAAUCUUCCACAAUGGACGCAAGUCUGAUGGAGCAACGCCGCGUGAGUGAAGAAGGUCUUCGGAUCGUAAAACUCUGUUGUUAGAGAAGAACACGAGUGAGAGUAACUGUUCAUUCGAUGACGGUAUCUAAUCAGCAAGUCACGGCUAACUACGUGCCAG
rnacentral:rRNA from 1 species